GAUGAAGAACGUAGCAAAAUGCGAUACUUGGUGUGAAUUGCAGAAUCCCGUGAACCAUCGAGUUUUUGAACGCAAGUUGCGCCCGAAGCCUUUUGGCCGAGGGUACGUCUGCCUGGGCGUCACGCAUCGCGUCGCCCCCCACAAUUCUCCGUAAAGGGAACAUGUGUUUUGGGGGCGGAUAUUGGUCUCCCGUGCUCAUGGCGUGGUUGGCCGAAAUAGGAGUCCUUUCGAUGGACGCACGAACUAGUGGUGGUCGUAAAAACCCUCGUUUUUUGUUUCGUGCUGUUGCUCGCAAGGUAAACUCUUUAAAAACCCCAAUGUGUCGUCUCUUGACGACGCUUCGACCGCGACCCCAGGUCAGGCGGGACUACCCGCUGAGUUUAAGCAUAUCAAUAAGCGGAGGA
rnacentral:misc_RNA from 1 species